rnacentral:rRNA from 1 species
UACGUAGGGUGCAAGCGUUGUUCGGAUUCAUUGGGCGUAAAGGGUGCGUAGGUGGCGGGGUAAGUCAGGUGUGAAAUCUCGGGGCUCAACCCCGAAACUGCACUUGAUACUGCCUUGCUCGAGUACUGGAGAGGAGAUUGGAAUUUACGGUGUAGCAGUGAAAUGCGUAGAUAUCGUAAGGAAGACCAGUGGCGAAGGCGAAUCUCUGGACAGUUACUGACACUGAGGCGCGAAAGCGUGGGUAGCAAACAGG